ACAAAGCAAGGAUGAUGAAUCAAUUAGAUGUGUGAAAGGAAAUUUCCUUUCUGAACUCAAUUUUUGAGGCAUAUAUGUAUAAAUCUGACUUGCUCUUU